AGUCGAGCGGCAGCGGGAGGUAGCUUGCUCUCUGGGUGACGAGCGGCGGAGGGGUGAGUAAUGCCUGGGAAAGUGCCUGAUGGAGGGGGAUAACUAGUGGAAACGGUAGCUAAUACCGCAUAGUGCCUAAAGACGAAAGAGGGGGACCUUCGGGCCUCGYGCCAUCAUAUGUGCCCAUGUGGGAUUAGCUAGUUGGUGGGGUAAUGGCUCCCCUACGCGACGAUCCCUAUCUGGUCUGAGAGGAUGACCACCCACACUGGAACUGASACACGGCCCASACUCCUACGGGAGGCAGCAGUGGGGAAUAUUGCACAGUGGGCGCACGCCUGAUGCCSCCGUGCCGCGUGUGUGAAGAAGGCCUUGGGGUUGUAAAGUAUUUUCMGCGAAGAAGAGGGCUUUGUGSUUAAUACCCACUGUGUUUGACGUUACUCGCAAAAAAAGCCCCGGCUAUCUCCGUGCCCGCCCCCGCGGUAAUACAGAGGGUGCAAGCGUUAAUCAGAAUUACUGGGCGUAAAGCGCACGCGGGCGGUCUGUCAACUCAGAUGUGAAAUCCCCGGUCUCAACCUGGGAACUGCUUUCAAAACUGGCGGGCUAGACUCUUGUAGAGGGGGGUAGAAUUCCAGGUGUAGCGGUGAAAUGCGUAGAGAUCUGGAGGAAUACCGGUGGCGAAGGCGGCCCCCUGGACAAAGACUGACGCUCA
rnacentral:rRNA from 1 species